rnacentral:rRNA from 1 species
AUUGAACGCUGGCGGCAGGCCUAACACAUGCAAGUCGAGCGGUAGCACAGAGAGCUUGCUCUCGGGUGACGAGCGGCGGACGGGUGAGUAAUGUCUGGGAAACUGCCUGAUGGAGGGGGAUAACUACUGGAAACGGUAGCUAAUACCGCAUAAUGUCGCAAGACCAAAGAGGGGGACCUUCGGGCCUCUUGCCAUCAGAGGUGCCCAGAUAGGAUUAGCUAGUAGGUGGGGUAACGGCUCACCUAGGCGACGAUCCCUAGCUGGUCUGAGAGGAUGACCAGCCACACUGGAACUGAGACACGGUCCAGACUCCUACGGGAGGCAGCAGUGGGGAAUAUUGCACAAUGGGCGCAAGCCUGAUGCAGCCAUGCCGCGUGUAUGAAGAAGGCCUUCGGGUUGUAAGGUACUUUCAGCGGGGAGGAAGGUGCUGAGGUUAAUAACCUCAGCAAUUGACGUUACCCGCAGAAGAAGCACCGGCUAACUCCGUGCCAGCCGCCGCCGUAA